UGGGGAAUGAUUGCACAAUGGGCGAAAGCCUGAUGCAGCAACGCCGCGUGAGUGAUGAAGGCCUUCGGGUUGUAAAGCUCUGUCUUUUGGGACGAUAAUGACGGUACCAAAGGAGGAAGCCACGGCUAACUACGUGCCAGCAGCCGCGGUAAUACGUAGGUGGCAAGCGUUUGUCCGGAUUUUACUGGGGCGUAAAGGAUGCGUAGGCGGAUUUUUAAGUGAGAUGUGAAAUACCGGCGUAAUCUUGAGUGCUGCAUUUCAAACUGGGAAUCUAGAGUGCGGGAGAGGAGAAUGGAAUUCCUAGUGUAGCGGUGAAAUGCGUAGAGAUUAGGAAGAACACCAGUGGCGAAGGCGAUUCUCUGGACCGUAACUGACGCUGAGGCAUGAAAGCGUGGGUAGCAAACAGGAUUAGAUACCCUGGUAGUCCACGCCGUAAACG
rnacentral:rRNA from 1 species